UACGUUUUACUUUUUUUUAAAAAAAAUGUUGUGUAGGUUCAAACUAGAGAUCUCUAGCGUGUAAAAUAUACUUGAUAACCACUACAUCACAACACUACUUUAUGUAUUAAGUUUCAUAAUAAAAGGCUAUAUUAUCUUUUCAAACUAUUACAAUGGGAAUUGUCCCACAUCGAAAACUUCAACGAAAAUUAACGUGUAUAAAAUAUAUGAGGACCAGCACAUUAAUAACAAUUGAAUGGGGCAUGGGUCUCGCGACGGUCAAUGUGGUGACAUCAGCUCGUAAGGAUACAGUCCCCCUAUUUUGAAAAAAAGUAUAUCAAUUACCCUUGCAAAAAAAAUUGAUUUAUCAGACUCGGGAUAGAAGAAAAGUCUGAUCUAGAGAAGAGAACCGAACAAACCGAACCGGGCGAUCGUGGAACCGGACAAUCGUGGCAUUUUAAAUCACUAAUAAAGUCUGGUUCUAGAGAAGAGAACCGAACGAACCGAACCGCCAAACACUCCCCAGGCCCAGCUCAGGGGCAAAGAAAAGAAAGUAAUUGAAGAUUCCCCUUCCAAUGAUGAGAAUCCUUUCUCCCCUCUUACUCCGCUCGAUAUAGAUGAUGUUGGAGAAGCAGAUGUUGGAGAAGCAUGUUUAAGGCAGUGCAGAUGCAACAAAAGAGAACCGAACGAACCGAACCCCCAAACAUGCCCCAGGCCCAGCUCAGGGGUAAAGAAAAGAAAGUGAUUGAAGACUCCUCUUCCAAUGAUGAGAAUCAUUUCUCCCCUCUUACUCCUCUCAAUAUUCCAAUGAUGAGAAUCCUUUCUCCUCUCUUACUCCCCUCGAUAUGGAUGAUGUUGGAGAAGC
rnacentral:lncRNA from 1 species